rnacentral:lncRNA from 1 species
GGCGCCAGGCGCUCCGGCCGCAAGGGAGCAGGGAGCCCUGCCAGCUGGGCCACCCGAGGGGCGUUGCGGGGCUCCGGGCGGGGUCGACCCGGGGGGCUCCGUCGGGCCCCACCAGCCUUGCGCCUUUUUCGCUCGGUCUCCUUGGCCUCCCGCUCCUGCGACGCCGCUUUCCUUUUCUCUUGCUCCCGAGCUCGGACCUCGGCCAGGGGCCCCGCCCGCCAGUUGGUCGCCUCCUGCAGCACCCUGGAGGCCCAGGGCCGGCGGGGCGGCGGCUGUGGGGAUCCCGGGCGCGGCCCACACCUGGGACAAUGAGCAGGAACCCAGGGUCUUGCUGUGUUGCUGAGCUGGUCUUGAACUCCUGGCCUCCCGCCUCAGUCUCCCAAAGUGCUGGGAUUACAGGGAAUGUGACUUCACUGGACGCAGUAUAAAGAUCUUCAGAUGUCCUCCUGCCGGGGAUUGCAGGGAUCACAGAAAGACCAUCGAGGUCCAGGAGCUACCUGCAAGCGGAGAUCCCUCUGGACGCCCCGUGCCUCACCCAGCAAAGCCGGCUCACAACCCUGCGCUCUCAAACCUCUAAAAGGGCUUGAGGUGCCAAUAGGAAAGGAGGCCCGAGAUUGCCACGGCAUACGUGGGCCCCAAGGAGGGAGCCAGGAGUCACUGCCUGCUUGGGCUAAGGGUACCGCGUACGGAAAGGCGGCGGGGACGCGGCCCAGUUCCAGGAGAUGCGCCCAACGAAGAAGCGGAGGAACAGGGUCACGGGAUAGGGCAGACACCCGGCUGCUUUUUGUUUGCUAGACACCAGCGCCAGCCCCUGCCCGGCCCUCCCGGUCUCCUAAGGGUUGGGGGGGUGUCUUAGGCUCCACAGCGCCCCCGACCGCCCUCCUGCACUCCUCACCGUCUCCAUUGCAAGAGGCGCCCGGCUUGGUUUCCUCGCUUUAGGAAACUCUCUUGGGGCAGGCCCCGCCCCACAUCCGGUGCGGCGACGCCACUUCCGCCCACGUCAUGGCAGUCGCCAGACUGGGGCGGAAGGCAAGGAACCCACCCUUCCGGCGGUGGCGGGCCUCGGUAACCGCCCUCCCCCGGGUCCUCGCGGACCGCACGGAUCCGGCUGACGGCGAGGGUCAUGGGACGGAGCCGCUUGUAUUUAAAAUGUUCUUUUUUUAUUUGUCGUUUAAAAACAAACUUGGAAGAAGCAAAAUCCAAAACUUGCCCUUUGCCUCUCGCAACAUAAAUAUGUACAGUUCAGAAUGAUCGCUGAUACAAAACAUGCCAAGGACAGGGGCGCUGAGGGUGGAGGGAGAGAGGGCGCUUUAAAAAAGGGAACCAUUUCAUCCGUUGUUACGAAGGACCAACCUUGCUGUACAGGAUACACACAACACAAAAUAAAGUCUUCACGGGAUUCACACUUGUCAGCGAUUUAUUUUUUAAAAAGGGGGAGGGUCCUGGAGGUGAGGGGAGAAGACUGUAAAGGGGAAAACUGAAAACUGAGUAUGUGCGAGUGUAAACCAACCCAAAAUACAAACACGGGGGCGGGGGGUGGGGUGGGGGAUUCUGAUGCAAUUAUACAGGCAGGGUACUUAAAAAAAAAACCAACCAAAAUUCCAACCUUGUAGCUUGGGUCUGAGUUAUAGUUUAUAUAAAAAUUAAAAACUGUAUAAGGUUUCUUCACUAAAUUCUACAGGACUAUCGGAUACCUAGCAUAUGCUUACAAAGUCUGCCCCAUCCCCUUUUCCCAAUCCCAGGGCCCAAGCCCCAAACACAGCCUGACUCACGGGAGCCAAUCUCCCCCUCCCUGUAGCCUAGACCUUCUGCUCUCGGAAAAGGAACAUCCAAGGGCUGUGGCUUUGAGGGCAGCAGCCCAGUCUUCCUACUGUCUGAUUUAAUUACAGCGGUUCCUGUGGGAGUGGGGGCUGUUAUUCUCUUAAACAUUUGCAGCUUGAAACAGUUGAGGAAGCAGCUUUAAAAAAAAAAAAUCUCCCUACCCCCAACAAUCCACAACCCCCCAAAUUCAAAACAAAACAAAAACAAACCUAAAAUCACAACAGCGACCAAGCUCCCCCUCCAGCAGGCCCGCCCGUCCACCACCACCAAGCCCACCCCUACACUCCAGACAUCUGAUUCUUGAAAAUAUUAAUUACAAAAUGCCCUUUGCCCACAGCCCCUAGAAGAGAACUGCAUAUAAGCUUCAUCUUCAUCCCCACGGUUCCCUACCAGAGAGGGGUUUGGGGCCUCACCCACCCCUUACCUACUCCCACCCCCAGGAAGAGGUUCAACUGCAGCACAAGCUUGGGCAGAAAGGGGAAGGAAAGGGAGGCAAGGAACCCAUCACCCUCUGGCUCCCCCUGGGGUCAGCUCUCUUUUGUGCGUUAUAACAUAGUCCAACUAUACAACAGGGGGUGGGAAUUGCCCAGCCUCUAUACCCCCAUCUUACAGCAGUCACAGCCAGGGGGUGGGGAGUGGGGUGGGGGGUGAGGAAAAGGGCGGUAGGUCGGGUAAUGGAGGGGGCCCCCCCACAAGGGGAGCUCCAUGUGUCCGCCCCACACCCCCCUACCAUUUAUAAACUGGUUUUGUAAAAAGAAAAUAGAUAUAUUUAUAUAGAAUAUAUAAAGCACAAAAAUUAGUAGUUUUACAUUUGCUCUCCCCGGGGGGUGGGGGGAGAGGGGAG